rnacentral:rRNA from 1 species
AUUGAACGCUGGCGGCAUGCCUUACACAUGCAAGUCGAACGGCAGCACGGGUGCUUGCACCUGGUGGCGAGUGGCGAACGGGUGAGUAAUACAUCGGAACAUGUCCUGUAGUGGGGGAUAGCCCGGCGAAAGCCGGAUUAAUACCGCAUACGAUCUACGGAUGAAAGCGGGGGACCUUCGGGCCUCGCGCUAUAGGGUUGGCCGAUGGCUGAUUAGCUAGUUGGUGGGGUAAAGGCCUACCAAGGCGACGAUCAGUAGAUGGUCUGAGAGGACGACCAGCCACACUGGGACUGAGACACGGCCCAGACUCCUACGGGAGGCAGCAGUGGGGAAUUUUGGACAAUGGGCGAAAGCCUGAUCCAGCAAUGCCGCGUGUGUGAAGAAGGCCUUCGGGUUGUAAAGCACUUCUGUCCGGAAAGAAAUCCUUGGCUCUAAUACAGUCGGGGGAUGACGGUACCGGAAGAAUAAGCACCGGCUAACUACGUG